rnacentral:rRNA from 1 species
AUUGAACGCUGGCGGCAUGCUUUACACAUGCAAGUCGAACGGUAACAGGCCUUCGGGUGCUGGCGAGUGGCGAACGGGUGAGUAAUGCAUCGGAACGUACCCAGAGGUGGGGGAUAACGCAGCGAAAGCUGUGCUAAUACCGCAUGUGAUCUGAGGAUGAAAGCGGGGGACCGAGCAGCAAUGUUUGGCCUCGCGCCUUUGGAGCGGCCGAUGUCGGAUUAGCUAGUUGGUGGGGUAAAGGCCUACCAAGGCGACGAUCCCUAGCUGGUCUGAGAGGACGACCAGCCACACUGGGACUGAGACACGGCCCAGACUCCUACGGGAGGCAGCAGUGGGGAAUUUUGGACAAUGGGCGCAAGCCUGAUCCAGCAAUGCCGCGUGCGGGAAGAAGGCCUUCGGGUUGUAAACCGCUUUUGGCAGGAACGAAACGGUGUCCGCUAAUACCGGGCGCUAAUGACGGUACCUGCAGAAUAAGCACCGGCUAACUACGUG